rnacentral:rRNA from 1 species
UACGUAGGGACCAAGCGUUGUUCGGAUUUACUGGGCGUAAAGGGCGCGUAGGCGGCUCAUGAAGGCUGUGGUGAAAGUCCGGGGCUCAACCUCGGAUCGGCCGUGGCGACUCGUGGGCUGGAGCACUGUAGAGGCGGGUGGAAUUCCGGGUGUAGCGGUGGAAUGCGUAGAGAUCGGGAGGAAGGCCGGUGGCGAAGGCGGCGCUCUGGAACAUUUCUGACGCUGAGGCUCGAAAGCGUGGGGAGCAAACAGG